UACGUAGGGCGCAAGCGUUGUCCGGAAUUAUUGGGCGUAAAGAGCUCGUAGGCGGUUUGUCGCGUCUGUCGUGAAAGCCCGCGGCUUAACCGUGGGUCUGCGGUGGAUACGGGCAGACUAGAGGCAGGUAGGGGAGAAUGGAAUUCCCGGUGUAGCGGUGAAAUGCGCAGAUAUCGGGAGGAACACCGGUGGCGAAGGCGGUUCUCUGGGCCUGUACUGACGCUGAGGAGCGAAAGCGUGGGGAGCGAACAGG
rnacentral:rRNA from 1 species